rnacentral:rRNA from 1 species
GUAGGUGGCGAGCGUUAUCCGGAUUUGCUGGGUGUAAAGAGGGAGCAGGCGGGCUUUUCAAGUCGAAUAUAAAAUCUCCCGGGCUUAACCGGGAGGGACUAUUCGAUACUGUUGGGCUAGAGGGCAGCAGAGGGAGGUGGAAUUCCCGGUGGAGUGGUGAAAUGCGUAGAUAUCGGGAGGAGCACCAGUGGCGAAGGCGGCCUCCUGGGCUGUUUCUGACGCUGAGGCCCGAGAGCGUGGGGAGCAACAGGAUUAGAUACCCUGGUAGUCCACACUGUAAACGAUGGGCACUCGGUGCCGCGGGUAUUGACCCCUGCUGUCCCGAAGCUAACGCAUUAAGUGCCCCGCCUGGGGAGUACGGUCGCAAAGGCUG